AAUUACUGAGCGUGUGCACCUGCUGGAUAACUAUGUGAGCGCUCUUCAAAUCAACAAUCUGCGGUGGUGAGUACAGGUGAUGCCAUCAGACCCGCCCACUGUGUAGAUCUUCCCAUACAGGCCGCACACGGCCACGUUACCACGGUGAUUGGUCAUGGAGGCCAUGUUCUUCCACUCAUUCUCCAGGGGGUAGAACUGUUCCACUGGGCAGGAGGGGUCCUCCUGGGUCCAGCCGCCCACUGACAGGAGAUACAAGGAGAGAUGCAUUUGCCUGAACACUUAGCGCUUAAUGCCCUGGUCCUAUCUUCCAGCUCAGCUGCCUGACUACUGUAUGACGUGUGACUGUAAAGAAGAGGUACAGAGUGUGUCAUUCCUCCAUGUCAAGUGAACACAUCCAGUGAGGCCCCGCACUAAAAGUACAAAGAUAAUGCUGUUCAAUUUGCAGUGCUUACCCCAAAAAGUAUUGCAGACUGAAGUUCAGAAAUAUGUUGAUAGAUAUGAUGCAGUUUGUUCUUCCUUUACAUUUAUUGAAUUCAAUAUAUUUCCGCCAGCCCCCGUGAUCAUAUCCACCAAGUGUCAAACUGAAUCUAAAGAUGGCUAUGACUUUUACUCACAUCAACCAAUGCCAGACGCAAUCUGCAUACCCAUGGCAUUGCAAGAACAUAUCACAUUUUUUACAAUGCAUCAGAGGUUUAAAGAUGUUGUUGCACUGAUCAAGCUACCACAAUAAAUGCAUUUUAAUCGUAUGAAGAUUCUUGGUGCCUUGUUAUUUUUAAUGUCCAAUUAAACCUUA